rnacentral:piRNA from 1 species
UGGACCUAACGUUCUGAGGAAAUAGGUGUA